GAUUAAGCCAUGCAUGUGUAAGUGUAAAUAGUUAAGUUUGGAACUGCGAAUGGCUCAUUAUAUCAGUUAUAGUUUAUUUGGUGAAGUGUACUACUUGGAUAACCGUAGUAAUUCUAGGGCUAAUACAUGAGAAAGUCCUCUGGUGAGGUGUGUUUAUUAGAAUGAAAACCAUAUGCUUCGGCAUGAUAGUGAGUAAUAGUAACCUAUCGUAUCGCAUGCUUAAUGUAGCGAUGAGUCUUUCAAGUUUCUGCCCUAUCAGCUUUCGAUGGUAGUAUAUGGGCCUACCAUG
rnacentral:rRNA from 2 species